UACGGGAGGCAGCAGUGGGGAAUAUUGCACAAUGGGCGCAAGCCUGAUGCAGCCAUGCCGCGUGUAUGAAGAAGGCCUUCGGGUUGUAAAGUACUUUCAGUCGUGAGGAAGGUGUUAAGGUUAAUAACCUUAGCAAUUGACGUUAGCGACAGAAGAAGCACCGGCUAACUCCGUGCCAGCAGCCGCGGUAAUACGGAGGGUGCGAGCGUUAAUCGGAAUUACUGGGCGUAAAGGGCACGCAGGCGGUUAAUUAAGUUGGAUGUGAAAUCCCCGGGUUUAACCUGGGAAUGGCAUUCAAGACUGGUUAGCUAGAGUCUUGUAGAGGGGGUAGAAUUCCAUGUGUAGCGGUGAAAUGCGUAGAGAUGUGGAGGAAUACCGGUGGCGAAGGCGGCCCCUGGACAAAGACUGACGCUCAUGUGCGAAAGCGUGGGGAGCAAACAGGGAUUAGAUACC
rnacentral:rRNA from 1 species